rfam:Cupriavidus sp. SK-3 Scaffold296, whole genome shotgun sequence.
GUUUCCCUGCCUGGUUCGUCAGGAUCAUAUUCCUUGAACCGAUAAGCAUUUGUUGGUGCGGGAUUAUGCCGUGUGGGCGAGCGCGUCGCUUGGUUCAUAGUCGCAGUCUGGACUCCCUGAAACAGUGAUGUACCCGAAAUGCGGCUUCCGCAGCCACUCUGAACCUCACUUGGGUUCAGGAUGCCGAUCCAGCGGCCGAGGCGGGGACCCC